rnacentral:rRNA from 1 species
UGCCGCAGGAGCGCGGAGACAGGUGGUGCAUGGCUGUCGUCAGCUCGUGUCGUGAGAUGUUGGGUUAAGUCCCGCAACRAGCGCAACCCUCACCCCUUGUUGCCAUCAGGUMAUGCUGGGCACUCUAGGGGAACUGCCCCGGUCAACGGGGAGGAAGGYGGGGAUGACGUCAAGUCAUCAUGCCCCUUACGCCCUGGGCUACACACGUGCUACAAUGGYCGGUACAAAGGGAUGCRASRCCGCRAGGYRGAGCCAAACCCAAAAAGCCGGYCUAAGUUCAGAUUGGAGUCUGCAACUCGACUCCAUGAAGGAGGAAUCGCUAGUAAUCGCGUAUCAGCACGACGCGGUGAAUACGUUCCCGGGCCUUGUACACACCGCCCGUCACACCACRAAAGCCAGCUGUACUCRAAGUCGCURAGA